AGAGUUUGAUCAUGGCUCAGAACGAACGCUGGCGGCGUGCCUAACACAUGCAAGUCGAACGAAGGCUCCCUUCGGGGAUGUCCUUAGUGGCGCACGGGUGAGUAACGCGUGGGAAUCUGUCCAGGUGUGGGGAAUAACUACGGGAAACUGUAGCUAAUACCGCAUACGCCCUACGGGGGAAAGGCUUCGGCCGCAUUUGGAUGAGCCCGCGUAAGAUUAGCUAGUUGGUGGGGUAAUGGCCUACCAAGGCUACGAUCUUUAACUGGUCUGAGAGGACGAUCAGUCACACUGGAACUGAGACACGGUCCAGACUCCUACGGGAGGCAGCAGUGGGGAAUUUUGCACAAUGGGGGAAACCCUGAUGCAGCGACGCCGCGUGGGUGAUGAAGGCCUUAGGGUUGUAAAGCCCUUUCAGCAGGGAAGAUGAUGACGGUACCUGCAGAAGAAGCCCCGGCUAACUCCGUGCCAGCAGCCGCGGUAAUACGGAGGGGGCUAGCGUUGUUCGGAAUUACUGGGCGUAAAGCGCGCGUAGGCGGCUUGAAAAGUUGGGUGUGAAAUCCCGGGGCUCAACCCCGGAACUGCAUUCAAAACUUUCUGGCUAGAGACUUAGAGAGGUGGGCGGAAUUCCGAGUGUAGAGGUGAAAUUCGUAGAUAUUCGGAAGAACACCGUGCGAAGGCGGCUCACUGGCUAAGUUCUGACGCUGAGGUGCGAAAGCGUGGGGAGCAAACAGGAUUAGAUACCCUAGUAGUCC
rnacentral:rRNA from 1 species